GGGUGCCGCGGCUCCCGCCCCUCUACGGACGUCGUCCCGCUGCCUUCGCCGGCCCUGAGGGGAAAGGCAAACCCGAGGCUCGGCAGGGAGGUCCCGGGAUGGCGGCGGGAAGGAGAGAGGCGCGACAGGCCGGACACUGAGGAGACUGAGGACAAGUCUUCAAGAAACAUUUGGAACCCAAACAACUCACAGGAAAAGACACCAUACAUCCACGUGCAUUUCUCCUGAACAUGAGGAAACAAUACAACCGCCUGUUUCUUUUAAUGACCUCCACUGAAAUACUGAAAAUUCACUGAUCUUGUAUUUGAUUUAUGCUUCCCUAUCACAGGAAGGCCUAAGUAUGACAAGUGUUGAACGAUAUACUGAAAACUUCUCACAACAGCUGAACGCUACUCAGAGCAGCCGUAAUUAUACCUGAAUUCUACAACUGCUGCAUAAACACAAUUUAAGAAGCACUCAGUCUCUACACCUCUAAGCUCUGUCUUUAACUUUAGAUGAUGAACUGCCUAGCCUUCUUAUCCUAAGAUUUCCUGCUUUCAAGUCUUCAGGCCGUUCUUUGUCACAAGUAGUAAAAAUCUACACACACUGCUAAAACAUAGUCACAAGAACAUACGAGUCCUGUGCCUACCACCUUACCCCAGAAGUUUAGUAAGUUUGCAACAGUAUUUGCUAAGUCUCAAAAUUACUAUCUGCUAUUUAAAUCCAUGCUUUCUUCGAUUAUAGGGUAAUUCCAAACCUUUAGUAUUUGCUUGCUUGAUAGAAUCAUGACAUUGAUAGGUUUAGGCUGUUUGAUGUAACUGCAACCUCAGUCCUACUUUUAAAUACUUGUUUCAAAAUCUUCAGGGUAACAUGGAUGCGCUCCCAACUUUUACAGAAGGUAACUACAGCAAAUUAAUUAUGUUUGAGUACUGUCUGGAUGAAAGACGCACCCACAUUAUUGCGUGGCUGCAACUUCUCCAAAGAUGCGCUGCCUGGAAAUGAAGUUGAAGGAAUAAAGAAAAGAAACCAACCAGCAAAAUCACACACGCCUAAUAAGAAAUCCCCAAACCCCGCUGUCCUCAGAGCUCCUAAUUUAACAGCUAUCUUAAGAAAACAACAGAACACAGACUCUAGAUCCACUACAAAGAGAGAGGAGCUAAUGCACUUGUUAAUACUUCCAUCUGGUCUACUUGUACUUUCACUGUGUUACUGGUGAUGCUCAACCGAGCAAGAGAAGUGACUACAGAUCUCCAUGUAAACAUGGUAUUCCAAGCCCUGCAAGAUGGGCAUGAGCUAUGGAUCUAGAAAAGUUGAAAGAGGAUUGAGAGGAAAAGAGAAAACUGCUUCAAUAUUUUUUUUAAAAAGGCGAAAAUAAUGUAAUUAAAGUGAUGGUAUCACACAGAGGAGCAAUCAUCUCUCCCAGAUGCACAGACACAUACCUUCCCAGAUUUCCAUUUGAUCUCGGUUGAUUUUGAAGAUGGGUCUCCGCUUUCAUUGAGGUGAAACUCUUUGGAGAGAACUUUAUUUUCAAAGUACGGAUUCUCAUCAAAAUACUGCAGAGUUGAAAGCAAAGAGUUAGAACUCACAUAAUGUAAAGACACGUGCCAAUUAAAACCUGGUACUAAAUGGAAAACUGAAGACAUUAAGUUACAAACAACCCAAUACGCAAUUAGAUUCAAAAAAACUCAGAAAAA